AUGCGCACAUCGAGGCUCCCCGACAUCAGGCGCGGGUCUUUAAUUACAUAUUUUGCUAUGCUCCAGGCUAUGCAUUUGGAACAGUGCUUUCCUUUUUAUCUUUAUUUUGUUUCUUUUGCUUAACUUCGGGAUGCAGCAAUGAAGUGUUAUUAAAAGAGCCCUAAAGCUGAGAGUGAAAUUUGGACUCUGUAACAAACCAGCUGUGGGGUCUUAAGCAAGUCACUUAAACGUGGGGACCUCGGCCUCCAAACCAGAUGACACUCGAGGCACAGCCUGCCUCCUAUCGCUGCUGGAAAGACUGUGGAAAUGGUACUGUUGGUGCCCAUAGACCUCCAGACCCCCAUGGGACAGCAGCUGGGCAUUCCUCCACCAUUGAAUGAAGUGUGAGCAGGGACUGGAAACCGGACAGCAAUUCUAGGGCCAGUUGGAAGGAGAGGUAGGGAAAGAGAAGCUUCCUUCGCCUUUCCCUCGAGCCCACGUCUCAUCAGUAAGCAAUUCCUGACAGUUCUCCACCUACAUAUCUUCCCACUUUUCUCCAUCCACACUGCCAUUUCUCUAUCUCCACUGCCAUACCAUUUUCUCUUGCUUAAAUGAUUUCCCUGUUUCUAGUCCCUACCCUACCGGCUGUGGGAUCAUUCUAAGAUGCAAAUUUGAUCAUUAAAAUAUUUCAUGGCUUCUCUUGGCCCACAGAAUAAAGUCCGAACACCUUAACAAGGCUGUCAUUGCCUGACUUCUUCCUAGUCUUCCAGACUUCCUUCUCUCCCUCUGUGUUCCAGUCAUCUUCAGAAACUAUCAGUUUAACAAACCAGGCUGCCUCUUACUUCAAAGACUUUUUGCAUGUAGAAACAACUUAAUGAACAUUCUGAACUCUGCUGAACAUAUUCUCAAUGAGGUUUUAACCAGUGCCUUCAACCAUACUCUCAGUUCUUCCAGCCCUGACGGAUUCUGUAGUUUUCUGUUUACUUAAUUAUUAGAAGUCCAGUCUAAUGCAGUCCACUUAAAAUCUUACAUCUCAUUUCAAGUUUUGCAGUGAGAUUUGCAAAACUUCCUUCCUUCCCCUCAGCACCAGCCAGACUUGAGCAGUGGAGCUUGGUUUGGGGAAGUGGUGUAUUCUGUCCUUUAAUAGAAGUCUGCCUUUCCCAAAAAUACUUAUUGUGUUGGGACCCUGAG
rnacentral:lncRNA from 1 species